GAGGUUGUGGCUCAGAGGUAGAGCGCUCACCUCCCAGGCACGAGGCACUGGGUUCGAUCCUCAGCACCACA
rnacentral:tRNA from 1 species